AUGGGAAGACAGAAGUCGGAAACACUCGGAUAAGAUGUCAACGUAUUGUACGAGGGUGAAGAGUUGGAGAAAGACAAACACUACUAUGAAGGGAAAAGAAUUGUGGAACUUCCAAAGAAACGUCCAAGCUGGUGGCACAAUAAUCUCUUAAUUAAGUCACACACAUCAUCUUAGAUUUCUAGGUGUCGCGUCGCAGAUAGCAUGUGACAUCUAAGAUGAGAUGUCUUGCGCAGAAUGCUCAUCCAAUCCAUUGUGUUCCAUGAGCAUUUAUUAGUGUUGAAUCUUUGAUGCUAAGACCAUCUGCAGUGGCCUAGUUAAUGUGAUAGUUGGAAUUUAAACUGAGUAGUACGACUGAGCAGUAAUUCCGUUGUUGGGAAUUGCUUGUAAUACAUGAGUGAAGUAGGAAUGUUCUUGUUAUUUGUAACUAUGAAAACUAGAAAUGAUACUGACAGUCCGAAUGAAAAACUCCAAUUCAUGGCAUCAUGCAUAUAUGGUUCUUUGUGGCAUGUUGUAAUAAAUAUACCUCUAGUGGGUGUCUAUUACUGUUCGAAAACAACUAAAUAUAUCUAGUUUUCUAUAUAUCUAGUUGUGUCUAUACUAAUAUUUUGUAUUAUAUACUGCAUAAUUAAAAUUUGUGCAAUUUAAUAACAGCAAAAAUUGUGGGACAGUUGCAACACUUGCUGUUGAGAAAAUGUGGCAUCUGAGAAAUAUCUCAUUAAUUGAAACAUUAAACUCCAAUCUAAAAAGAGGAACUA